GAUGAACGCUGGCGGCGUGCCUAAUACAUGCAAGUCGAGCGGACAGACGAGGAGCUUGCUCCUCUGACGUUAGCGGCGGACGGGUGAGUAACACGUGGAUAACCUACCUAUAAGACUGGGAUAACUUCGGGAAACCGGAGCUAAUACCGGAUAAUAUAUUGAACCGCAUGGUUCAAUAGUGAAAGACGGUUUUGCUGUCACUUAUAGAUGGAUCCGCGCCGCAUUAGCUAGUUGGUAAGGUAACGGCUUACCAAGGCAACGAUGCGUAGCCGACCUGAGAGGGUGAUAGGCCACACUGGAACUGAGACGCGGUCCAGACUCCUACGGGAGGCAGCAGUAGGGAAUCUUCCGCAAUGGGCGAAAGCCUGACGGAGCAACGCCGCGUGAGUGAUGAAGGUCUUCGGAUCGUAAAACUCUGUUAUUAGGGAAGAACAAAUGUGUAAGUAACUAUGCACGUCUUGACGGUACCUAAUCAGAAAGCCACGGCUAACUACGUG
rnacentral:rRNA from 1 species